CAUCAGACAUGGAUGACUUUCAUUGUAACCGCAUCUGACAUAAUUUACGCGAUUUGUAAAAAAAAAAAAUAUAGAACGAUAAUGAACAAAAAAAAAUAACAAAAACUUAUCUCAUAAGCAAUGUGUUGCAUGUUCAAUGAGACACGUGUUACAUGUAAACAUAUAUAGUUUUUGAUAUUAGACUUAAACAUUUAUUUUUCUUUUCAACACGGUACGUUUUCGAAAUGCCAAAUGAUAUCUGCAAAUGAUUUUUUUUCUUUUCUAUCGUAAUGCUGUUCGAUACUCAAGUGCAUUUGAUCGCGAACUUAAACUACCGUUCUGACUUCAUGUUAUGCGAAAAUGUGAAGUUUGCUGUGUGUAUACCAGACAGGAUAUAUAUAGCAACAGGAAAUACAAAUAAAUCACAUUUCCUAGAAGGCAGAAUCGUAAUUAGAUGGAUGUUAUACAAGCAAUAGAAUAAAAAGCGUUAUCAAGCACAAGCAAGACCAUUUCUGUACACUGAAUAUUACUGGUAUAAUUGUGUCCAUUCCCUGAAUGAUUACUACACUAUGGUUGCACUAUGAUUUAUAUACAAUAGUCGUACAAAUUAUCACGACGACAGUGAAGUAAAUUCAAAUUAACAAUAAUGUUCUUAAAUAAAAAAAAGUUUGUAACAACGCAAAAAGACAGUAACUAGAAAAAAACAUAAUAUAAAGAGGAUUCAAUAUAAAUGUAAAAGGAGAACAAUUGAAGACUCUCCAACUCGUCGGAUCUAAAUACAUACAUUGACAAUAAACGAAAAUGAACAUCGUCAACGUAACAUCUUCUAAAAAGGACGAACAAAGAAAUAUCUUACAUUAUAUUCUUGAAAUAGUUAAAACAAUUGAUAUACAAACAAUUGAUAACACCGUAAUCAACGCUCAAUCAAUGCGUAAUCAACGCUCAAUCUUAUGAAUUUUAUGAUGCAAUACGACUGGAUGGCACAAUGUAAAAUCCAGCACAAGCAUUCCCAUGAACCACGUCACUCUUUCGUGACUCAAAAUAAAACCAAAAAAAUAAGCUGCUCAGCGAGCUAUUUAACAUCACAGAAAAGAUAUGAUUCGUUAAUAUGAUUUUGCAUGUAUCUUUUCAGUUAUAUUUCCAAUAAGUUCUAAUAAACCGUCAGAAUAAGAA